rnacentral:misc_RNA from 1 species
CUGAUUUGAGGUCAAACUUUAAGAACAUUGUUCGCCUAGACGCUCUCUUCUUAUCGAUAACGUUCCAAUACGCUCAGUAUAAAAAAGAUUAGCCGCAGUUGGUAAAACCUAAAACGACCGUACUUGCAUUAUACCUCAAGCACGCAGAGAAACCUCUCUUUGGAAAAAAAAAACAUCCAAUGAAAAGGCCAGCAAUUUCAAGUUAACUCCAAAGAGUAUCACUCACUACCAAACAGAAUGUUUGAGAAGGAAAUGACGCUCAAACAGGCAUGCCCCCUGGAAUACCAAGGGGCGCAAUGUGCGUUCAAAGAUUCGAUGAUUCACGGAAUUCUGCAAUUCACAUUACGUAUCGCAUUUCGCUGCGUUCUUCAUCGAUGCGAGAACCAAGAGAUCCGUUGUUGAAAGUUUUUAAUAUUUUAAAAUUUCCAGUUACGAAAAUUCUUGUUUUUGACAAAAAUUUAAUGAAUAAAUAAAAUUGUUUGUGUUUGUUACCUCUGGGCCCCGAUUGCUCGAAUGCCCAAAGAAAAAGUUGCAAAGAUAAUGAAAACUCCACAGUGUGUUGUAUUGAAACGGUUUUAAUUGUCCUAUAACAAAAGCACAGAAAUCUCUCACCGUUUGGAAUAGCAAGAAAGAAACUUACAAGCCUAGCAAGACCGCGCACUUAAGCGCAGGCCCGGCUGGACUCUCCAUCUCUUGUCUUCUUGCCCAGUAAAAGCUCUCAUGCUCUUGCCAAAACAAAAAAAAUCCAUUUUCAAAAUUAUUAAAUUUCUUUAAUGAUCCUUCCG